rnacentral:rRNA from 1 species
GACGAACGCUGGCGGCGUGCUUAACACAUGCAAGUCGAACGGAAAGGCCCUGCUUUUGUGGGGUGCUCGAGUGGCGAACGGGUGAGUAACACGUGAGUAACCUGCCCUUGACUUUGGGAUAACUUCAGGAAACUGGGGCUAAUACCGGAUAGGAGCUCCUGCUGCAUGGUGGGGGUUGGAAAGUUUCGGCGGUUGGGGAUGGACUCGCGGCUUAUCAGCUUGUUGGUGGGGUAGUGGCUUACCAAGGCUUUGACGGGUAGCCGGCCUGAGAGGGUGACCGGCCACAUUGGGACUGAGAUACGGCCCAGACUCCUACGGGAGGCAGCAGUGGGGAAUAUUGCACAAUGGGCGGAAGCCUGAUGCAGCAACGCCGCGUGCGGGAUGACGGCCCUCGGGUUGCAAACCGCUUUCGCCUGUGACGAAGCGUGAGUGACGGUAAUGGGUAAAGAAGCACCGGCUAACUACGUG